rnacentral:lncRNA from 1 species
AACAUCGCCAACCAAACAAGCUGGAAGCUGCUACACUAUGAAAAAGCAGCCGAUGCUGUCAUUUCAUCAGAAGUAAACACAGCACCUGACCUGAUACAGCUAUAUGAGGAAGUUGCCCAAACUGAACAGCUGAAGAAGAACUAUGAGAAAGCUGCACGUUCCCUUUGUGUGGCGCUCAACAGCAAACUCACAGUGUGGCAGUGGCUCGCACAGGGCUGCUGCUGGGUAGAGCUUAGAUUGCAGCUGGAGAGGAGCAGCAUGUUGAGGCAGCUGAAACAUACUUUACAGAGAGCCUCAGCGCCUAUCAAGCAAUGCUGAGCACAGACAAUUCCCAGACUCUUAGCACUGUUGAGGAAUUCAGCAAGUGGCUUGUCCGACUAGGGAAAAAUCAGCAGGCCUACACUCUGCUGAAAGACUUUUUGAACUGUAAGGCAGAUGCCCAUGAGGACUUCAGUGAGAAAGUUGUUGAACUUUAUCAUACAAUGGGUAGCAUUUAUCUAGCAGACAUAAGGAUACAAGAAGCUCAUCAGCUGUUCAGCAAGGUAAUUAUUAUACUACAUUUUGAGGUUUUUUUACCCUCUUACUUACCACCUGUCUUUGAAAAUUUAAAUGAAUACCGUUACACAGAGCUCUGGGCUGCUGCAUCAAAACUAGCUCUUGUUGAAGGCAGUUCAGAUCUUUCUGUGCUACUGUCAGGUUUAUUUUGCUGUGGAGGCCCAUGAUAGCUGAAGAGAAUCAGAGUCACAUUUUUGGUGGAUAUUCAUGCACCUUUCUCACCAUGUGUUAACUGCACAAAGCUCAGAGCUUUGUGGACACUUGAUUGCGUUUCCCAACAAACAGUCUCACUCCUUUGCAGAGCCCUUUGAUUAGAUUUUUUUCACUAAUAUACUGCCAUGGUAGUUGCUAAAGCACUACUAGGGGAGAGGGCACGCUAGAAAGACCAAAGCAGCCUCCACUACAGACCUUAGCUUCCAUUUCUACCUAAGCAGUCCUGUUCCCCCUCAAAACUAAUUUCAUAUAAACGUGAGUUUGUCCGAACAAGGUGUCAAGCUUCUAACUAGCUCUUACCAUUCUAACAGCUCCAUUAAAAAAAAAAAAAAUCCAUAUUUGUUCAAAUUAUUGAACAAACUACUGAACUCAACUAUUUAUGUUUAAAUAGUUAACAUUAAGAAUGUUCUGUCCAUUACAGCACUGUUUAGUACUGCUAUUAUUCUUUACACAGUUUCUUUAUGUAUAAAACCCACCUACUGGAUUCUUAGGGAUUUAUAAGUGGCUACAAAACAAAGUUCAAAAUAGUCGCUGUAGGUAACUACACACAGCUUCUCAUCUCAACUUUUCAAACUACUUUACUAACCUCACCGAAGACCCUUCUAGUCAAGGAUGUUGGCAUUUCCUUAUGAAUCCAUACAUAAUUAGAUAUCAAACAAUAAUUAUUUCCUAUGACUGAUUUUGAAAUGAGGGUAUACAAGUUAAUUCCUUCUUGGUAAUUCGGUGCUGAACAGUCCUCACGGAUUCAAAUGUUUGUGGAUGGACAUCAGCAUGUGAAAGCCAGAGAUGCAAUGACUUCUCAGUACGUUAUUAGAGGUAAGAGAUAACAUUAGCACUUGCAUCGUUACUGUUUUGUUGCACAACCAUUAGCAGGCCUUGGAGCCAAAGGCAUUAUAUAUAUUUUGGCUUCUAGUAUCUUAGCAGAUCAAUGGGAUUAAAAACAAGUUGAUGGUU